UAAAUACUCCCUAGUGACCGAUAGUGAACCAGUACCGUGAGGGAAAGGUGAAAAGCACCCCGGAAGGGGAGUGAAACAGUUCCUGAAACCGUGUGCCUACAAGUAGUUAGAGCCCGUUAAUGGGUGAUAGCGUGCCUUUUGUAGAAUGAACCGGCGAGUUACGAUUUGUUGCAAGGUUAAGCGGAAAAAGCGGAGCCGUAGCGAAAGCGAGUCUGAAUAGGGCGCAUAAGUAACAGGUCGUAGACCCGAAACCAGGUGAUCUACCCAUGUCCAGGAUGAAGGUAAGGUAAUACUUACUGGAGGUCCGAACCCACGCACGUUGAAAAGUGCGGGGAUGAGGUGUGGGUAGCGGAGAAAUUCCAAUCGAACUUGGAGAUAGCUGGUUCUCUCCGAAAUAGCUUUAGGGCUAGCCUCGAGGUAAAGAGUCAUGGAGGUAGAGCACUGUUUGGACUAGGGGCCCUUCUCGGGUUACCGAAUUCAGAUAAACUCCGAAUGCCAUGUACUUAUACUCGGGAGUCAGACUGCGAGUGAUAAGAUCCGUAGUCGAAAGGGAAACAGCCCAGACCACCAGUUAAGGUCCCCAAAUAUAUGUUAAGUGGAAAAGGAUGUGGGGUUGCUUAGACAACCAGGAUGUUGGCUUAGAAGCAGCCACCAUUGAAAGAGUGCGUAAUAGCUCACUGGUCGAGUGACCCCGCGCCGAAAAUGUACCGGGGCUAAACAUAUUACCGAAACUGUGGAUGAACCUCUUUAGAGGUUCGUGGUAGGAGAGCGUUCUAAGGGCGGUGAAGUCAGACCGGAAGGACUGGUGGAGCGCUUAGAAGUGAGAAUGCCGGUAUGAGUAGCGAAAGAAGGGUGAGAAUCCCUUCCACCGAAUAUCUAAGGUUUCCUGAGGAAGGCUCGUCCGCUCAGGGUUAGUCGGGACCUAAGC
rnacentral:rRNA from 1 species